rnacentral:rRNA from 1 species
AGUGAACGCUGGCGGUAGGCCUAACACAUGCAAGUCGAACGGCAGCACGGUAAGGGCUUCUUUUUCCGGGUGGCGAGGGGGAGGGGGGUGUGAAGUACGUGGGACUCUCCUUUUGCGGGGGGGAACAAGUGGAGAAGCUAGCGCUAAUAGCAUAACGGCGCUACACCAAAAAGCAGGAGCUCUUGGGCCCUUGCCCUAGUAAGUGCCCAGAUGGGAUUAGCUAGUUGGUGGGGUAAAGGCCCACCAAGGCGACGAUCCCUAGCUGGUCUGAGAGGAUGACCAGCCACACUGGAACUGAGACACGGUCCAGACUCCUACGGGAGGCAGCAGUGGGGAAUAUUGGACAAUGGGCGCAAGCCUGAUGCAGCCAUACCGCGUGUGUGAAGAAGGCCUUCGGGUUGUAAAGUACUUUUGUUGGGGAAGAAAAGCGGCAGGUUAAUACCCCGGCGCUUUGACGUUACCCAAAGAAGAAGCACCGGCUAACUUCGUG